rnacentral:rRNA from 1 species
CGAGGGGAAUUGAAACAUCUUAGUACCCUCAGGAAAAGAAAUCAAUAGAGAUUGCGUCAGUAGCGGCGAGCGAAAGCGCAAGAGGGCAAACCCAGUGCUUGCACUGGGGGUUGUAGGACUGCAAUGUGCAAGAGGUAAGUUUAGCAGAACAUUCUGGAAAGUAUAACCAUAGAGGGUGAUAGUCCCGUAUGCGAAAAACAAACCUUAGCUAGCAGUAUCCUGAGUAGGGCGGGACACGAGGAAUCCUGUCUGAAUCCGGGUCGACCACGAUCCAACCCUAAAUACUAAUACCAGAUCGAUAGUGCACAAGUACCGUGAGGGAAAGGUGAAAAGAACUGAGGUGAUCAGAGUGAAAUAGAACCUGAAACCAUUUGCUUACAAUCAUUCAGAGCCCUAUGUAGGAAUACAGGGUGAUGGACUGCCUUUUGCAUAAUGAGCCUGCGAGUUGUGGUGUCUGGCAAGGUUAAGCAAACGCGAAGCCGUAGCGAAAGCGAGUCUGAAUAGGGCGCUUAGUCAGAUGCUGCAGACCCGAAACGAAGUGAUCUAUCCAUGAGCAAGUUGAAGCUAGUGUAAGAACUAGUGGAGGACUGAACCCAUAGGCGUUGAAAAGCCCCGGGAUGACUUGUGGAUAGGGGUGAAAGGCCAAUCAAACUUCGUGAUAGCUGGUUCUCUCCGAAAUAUAUUUAGGUAUAGCGUUGUGUCGUAAUAUAAGGGGGUAGAGCACUGAAUGGGCUAGGGCAUACACCAAUGUACCAAACCCUAUCAAACUCCGAAUACCUUAUAUGUAAUCACAGCAGUCAGGCGGCGAGUGAUAAAAUCCGUCGUCAAGAGGGAAACAACCCAGACUACCAGCUAAGGUCCCUAAAUCUUACUUAAGUGGAAAACGAUGUGAAGUUACUUAAACAACCAGGAGGUUGGCUUAGAAGCAGCCAUCCUUUAAAGAAAGCGUAAUAGCUCACUGGUCUAGUGAUUUUGCGCGGAAAAUAUAACGGGGCUAAAGUAAGUACCGAAGCUGUAGACUUGCACACAACUUAGAUUAUUUAAGUUUAGAAUAUGAGAAACUAAGUUAUAUGUUUAGUUAUAUUUUUACUGAUUUUUAUAGAGUAAAGAUAGAAAUAAAACUUAGUAAAAUCAGUAAAAAUAUUCUUAGACUAAAGUUAAGUAGUUUAAGUUGUGUGCAAGUGGUAGGAGAGCGUUCUAUUUGCGUCGAAGGUAUACCGGUAAGGAGUGCUGGAGCGAAUAGAAGUGAGCAUGCAGGCAUGAGUAGCGAUAAUUAAUGUGAGAAUCAUUAACGCCGUAAACCCAAGGUUUCCUACGCGAUGCUCGUCAUCGUAGGGUUAGUCGGGUCCUAAGUCGAGUCCGAAAGGGGUAGACGAUGGCAAAUUGGUUAAUAUUCCAAUACCAACAUUAGUGUGCGAUGGAAGGACGCUUAGGGCUAAGGGGGCUAGCGGAUGGAAGUGCU